AAUCGUGUCAAACAGAAGGGAUACCGAACAAACGCCUGAUUGCCGCCAUGGCAGGUUCUCCGUUCGGCUUGAACGACAUCAGGAGUAAUACGCAGCUAAUUUCUCUAUUCCGAAAGUGGACUGUGUGAUUUAGUGAUUAAAAAUGACGCUUCUGGUUGUCAUAUAUGCUACUACAAUGAUUAAUGAUGCAAAUCCCUUUACCAGCUACCAGGUACCAUUAUUUCAGGGGGCGGGUUUUCGAUUGAGUUUAUUGAUCCUUGGUGUAUAAGCAUCAUCUGAUUCUGAAUCUGAUUGAUAAUUGUAUAUUGAAUUCGUAUAGUUAAUGAUGCAAAUCCCUUUACCAGCUACCAGGUUGAGUACACGUAUGUAGAUCGACACUUUUGGAUGUGUUUUAGUGCUUUACAUAAAGAGGAUGAUGACAACGGGUAGUUGGUACGGGAUCAUCCUGAUCUAGGGUGAGCUUAGGGAAAGCAGAAGUGAAUCUGACUGAAAACGAUAAUGGAGGCAGCCUUUUGGACACACGAUGGAAAAUCAAAGUAUAAGGUACGUGCAUCAGCCCGCAUAUCGAAGUUUGUUUCUGGCACACACUCUCGCAUGUAGCUUGCAUGCUUUAGAAAUGACAAUGGGGAGGAGAAUGCAAUCCCUUCUUGCUUUUUGUUGGGCCUAUCCCCGGUCCGGUUACUUUUAGAAAUGAAAAAAUGAAUGCUGAUUGUAUUAGGAGAAUAAAAUCAAUUUUUUAAGAAUUGCACGGGCGGUAGAUAAAUUAAGAAAAUAAUAAUGAUAUAAUAUUAAAAAGAAUUAGGAUUAUGGUAAGACAGUAAGUGCUCUAAAAAUUGACUAUAUGUCUCUCUAUUAAAGGUGUUCUAGAAAUAUCUGCGAUGGUGAUCCUACAUGUAUUUCGU